rnacentral:rRNA from 1 species
UCGAAGGCAGCAGUGGGGAAUAUUGCACAAUGGGCGCAAGCCUGAUGCAGCCAUGCCGCGUGUAUGAAGAAGGCCUUCGGGUUGUAAAGUACUUUCAGUCGUGAGGAAGGUGUUAAGGUUAAUAACCUUAGCAAUUGACGUUAGCGACAGAAGAAGCACCGGCUAACUCCGUGCCAGCAGCCGCGGUAAUACGGAGGGUGCGAGCGUUAAUCGGAAUUACUGGGCGUAAAGGGCACGCAGGCGGUUAAUUAAGUUGGAUGUGAAAUCCCCGGGCUUAACCUGGGAAUGGCAUUCAAGACUGGUUAGCUAGAGUCUUGUAGAGGGGGUAGAAUUCCAUGUGUAGCGGUGAAAUGCGUAGAGAUGUGGAGGAAUACCGGGUGGCGAAGGCGGCCCCUGGGACAAAGACUGACGCUCAUGUGCGAAAGCGUGGGGAGCAAACAGGGAUUAGAUACC